rnacentral:sRNA from 12 species
AAUGAUACUCUUGCGUUCGGCGUAACUCGCUGCUUGUGUAGGCGAGAUAUAGGGCUUCCGGCUGGAACUUAUGUCGGUUGAUCUAUAU